UACGUAGGGUGCAAGCGUUAAUCGGAAUUACUGGGCGUAAAGCGUGCGCAGGUGGUUUUGUAAGUCUGACGUGAAAUCCCCGGGCUCAACCUGGGAAUUGCGUUGGAGACUGCAAGGCUAGAAUAUGGCAGAGGGGGGUAGAAUUCCACGUGUAGCAGUGAAAUGCGUAGAGAUGUGGAGGAACACCGAUGGCGAAGGCAGCCCCCUGGGUCAAGAUUGACGCUCAUGCACGAAAGCGUGGGGAGCAAACAGG
rnacentral:rRNA from 1 species